UGCAAGAUAAAAGACACAACGCCUCGCCUUUAGGGAAAGUUGAAAAAAAAAAAAAAACGUGUAAAGCCAGUGUCGCCGCAACCAAAAUAGGGCAUCAAAAUGUGUCACGCACAAUAUUGCAUUGAUUGCUUGUCAAUUAUGGGUGGCAAGAGAUCGUGACCCACUGCAAAUUGCCUUGUCAUUAAUUAAGAAGAAAAAUGCAAACAAAAGAAAAACUUC
rnacentral:lncRNA from 1 species